rnacentral:lncRNA from 1 species
CAUCACAUCCCUUUCCCUAUUACAGUCCCUUUUUGAAAUCUAGUCUGUGUCGGGUGAUUCGCCCGGAGAGAGUGCCACGGCUUGGCCUGCCGACGUCGUGUCACUCGAGGGGACACUCCAUGUCUCAUCGUGACACCCGCACACCCACUCGGUCCAACCGGGAACUGGCUUGGCGUUUCUGUCCAGGCGAUUUUUGUCACCUGAACUAAGAUGUUCAUUAUCAAAUUUAUGCAGCCAUUUUGUUUGCGUGGCGGCGAGGGUGAAGGCCGCUGCACGAAGCACGGAGCCGAGAGGGCGGCGGUCGACGUGCAUGGGGGCGAGAGUAAGAGACUUGGCGAACGUUGAAGUCACCAAGUGCAGAAACAUUAGCAGAAUAUUGUUUUAUUGAGCAAUGAAGGUAGUCCACAUAUCCGGCAUCAUUCACGCCCGUAUCACACGACAGGUAACAGUUUAGCAUUAAUAAUGUUGUCAAAUCGAGGCGAACAUAUACAUAUGACUCUAUCACCAUUGAUAUCAAUGGUACAUCCAAGGUUGCAAAACUUCUCUUAUAUCGAAGUGCAACACCAUCGAAUGGUCUACUUAUUAACACUUACCGUGAUAAAUCCACUGGCGAUGUACCGUAAAAUGCAAUAUUAUUAUCCAUUAUACCAAGAGAGCUCAGCUCUUGCACUGGCAGCUAGAUUUCUUGCAGACACACAAUUUCUUGUAAAUACAACCUAAACGUCUUGGAACUGCUUUAAUCGCUGCAACAUAUAACCGUUUUAACAUCCUUGGCUACUGACGUAAUUUGUGUGAAUAUUUCGUGUGUAAGUGCUAUUCAAAAAUACUGCUGCUGUGUGUAUCUGUAUAUGCCGUGUAUGCUGUGUAUGCCUCCUUUACACAUGUGUUCCAAGAGACGCAUGGCUACUACAUGUGGACAGCUGGAAACUUUACCUUCAUAAAUAGAUACGAAAGAAAAA